rnacentral:rRNA from 1 species
CACGGGGGGAGCAAGCGUUGUUCGGAAUCACUGGGCGUAAAGGGCGUGUAGGCGGUCAAGUAAGUGGAAUGUGAAAGCCCCCGGCUUACCCGGGGAUCUGCAUCCCAAACUGCUUGGCUUGAGUACGGGAGAGGAUAGGGGAAUUCCUGGUGUAGCGGUGAAAUGCGUAGAUAUCAGGAGGAACACCGGUGGCGAAGGCGCCUAUCUGGCCCGAUACUGACGCUGAGGCGCGAAAGCGUGGGGAGCGAACAGG